ACAUUGAGGUGACAUUGGGGUGACAUUGAGGUGACACUGGGGUGACAUUGAGGUGACAUUGAGGUGACACUGGGGUGACACUGGGGUGACAUUGAGGUGACAUUGGGGUGACAUUGGGGUGACACUGAGGUGACAUUGGGGUGACAUUGGGGUGACAUUGGGGUGACAUUGAGGUGACACUGGGGUGACAUUGGGGUGACAUUGGGGUGACACUGGGGUGACAUUGGGGUGACAUUGGGGUGACACUGGGGUGACAUUGAGGUGACAUUGGGGUGACACUGGGGUGACAUUGGGGUGACAUUGAGGUGACACUGAGGUGACACUGGGGUGACACUGGGGUGACACUGAGGUGACAUUGGGGUGACACUGAGGUGACAUUGGGGUGACAUUGAGGUGACAUUGGGGUGACACUGAGGUGACAUUGGGGUGACACUGGGGUGACAUUGAGGUGACAUUGGGGUGGCGAUGGCCACCAACACGGGGUGGCAUCAGGGUGGCAU